rnacentral:ncRNA from 1 species
CAUUUACCCCCGGUUUAUGGUUUUUAUCCGCCUUUCUGGCGGCUAAAAUUAAAAGGGAAUCCGGUGUAAAUCCGGAACAGUUCCCGCUGCUGUAAGUUCCAUCAAUUGCUUUUAACAUCUGCAAAGCCACUGCUCCGGUUGGAGUGGGAAGGCGUUAAAAGUGGAACAAGUCAGAAGACCUGCCAAAGACUGUAACAACUU